rnacentral:rRNA from 1 species
UACGUAGGGUGCAAGCGUUGUCCGGAAUUAUUGGGCGUAAAGAGCUCGUAGGCGGUCUGUCGCGUCUGCUGUGAAAACCUAGGGCUUAACCCUGGGCCUGCAGUGGGUACGGGCAGACUAGAGUGCGGUAGGGGAGACUGGAAUUCCUGGUGUAGCGGUGAAAUGCGCAGAUAUCAGGAGGAACACCGGUGGCGAAGGCGGGUCUCUGGGCCGUAACUGACGCUGAGGAGCGAAAGCGUGGGGAGCAAACAGG